CGAAUGAGAAGGGGGGACAAGAGAGAGGGAGAGAGAGAGUGAAAGGGCCCGAGAGACAGAGUAUUGGUGGUGGUGGAGUUAAAAGACUACAAUUGACCAGUUCUUAAAGUAAUUGACUGUGGGGAACCCGAACCGUUGCUGAAUGGAGGGGUGAUGUUCAUAUCUAGCUCUCAGAACCAGCAUCUCUCAGUCAUUUAGUACCACUGCAAUGAGCUGUACUACACUCUCUCUAAAAGAGUUAAUGUGUGUGGACUUCUUACAGUGAACAUCCCAGGGAUUGUAAGGAUUGUUGGGGGAAAGCCAGCACCAGCUGGAUGCUUCCCCUGGCAGGUGUUGCUGAUAGUAAAUGGUAGAGGAGGAGGGAUAGUUAUCGGGGACCACUGGAUCAUGACUGCAGCACAUGUGCUGAAUGGAAAUACCAGGGAUGAAGAUAAGGUGAGGCGAUUGUGUUAAUAAAAAUAGCAGCAUGGGUCAUCUUUCUGACUUGGCUGCUCAUCUGGGUUUGUGCUUGAUAUUAGAGGUCUUCACAAGUCCAAAAAGCUGUACCUGUUCUGAAAUGAACCCGGGGCUUUCCCACCCAGACCCGAUAUGCAUAAAUAAAUGUUUUAAAUACAAAGACCCUUUGUAGGACAACUAGACCCUUUUUGUAUAGACUUGGUCUGAUCCAGACCGGGUCCGAUUAUUUUUUAAUCUACUUUAUUAACCCGGAGCUGAUAAAGUGCAAGAGGAGAGAGAGAGGUGCCACUCUAGCAGGCGGGGGAGGGGCCUUACUGUGAACGAGUGACACUGUGAGCAGGGAGUGAGAGACUAGAGACAGCAACCAACCUAGCUGACUCGCUCUAUAGUAGACUAACUGCUGCCAUAGCUAGGAUAUUUAUCAUCAAAUAUGAUUACGUAGUACCUGUCUUGACUGCAUCAACCCGGGAGAAGCUUGUUAAGCCAGCUAACGUUAGCUAGCUAGGCUAAUUGAGGCUGCAGGGCAAAUAAUAACUACUCCUUUCAGAAUAUUAAGUAGCAGCCCGCCUGUUUACUCUUGGUCGUUGUAGCCUAUCCUUCUCGUUUAACUUUUAAUUCUGUCAUUUUAAUUCCAUUUUCCAUUGAUUAGAUAUUUCCUAACUAUUGCCCCACACGGAGGCUAUAUGACUGUAGCCCAUUGGCACUUUAAAGACUUUAGAUUGGCCAAGAACAAGAACACGUACCACUCUCGUGAAAGCAAGAGCAGCAGCAUAAAUGUCUCUCUCUCUCUCUCUCUCUCGAUUUUACCACUUCAGCUCGGUUUUGUGGCAGUCGAUGCAGGCUACUUGACAGAAGGUUGUGGGUUUGCUUGCCGUGCGGUAGUAGAGAGUCAGUCAAUGACUAGGGUGGC